AGAGUUUGAUCCCGGCUCAGAUUGAACGCUGGCGGCGUGCCUAACACAUGCAAGUCGAGCGGUAACAGGUGUAGCAAUACAUGCUGACGAGCGGCGGACGGGUGAGUAACGCUUGGGAAUCUGCCUGUUAGUGGGGGACAACCCGGGGAAACUCGGGCUAAUACCGCAUACGCACUAUGGUGGAAAGCCGGGGACCGCAAGGCCUGGCGCUAACAGAUGAGCCCAAGUCGGAUUAGCUAGUUGGUAGGGUAAUGGCCUACCAAGGCGACGAUCCGUAACUGGUCUGAGAGGACGACCAGUCACACCGGAACUGAGACACGGUCCGGACUCCUACGGGAGGCAGCAGUGGGGAAUAUUGGACAAUGGGGGCAACCCUGAUCCAGCGACGCCGCGUGGGUGAAGAAGGCCUGCGGGUUGUAAAGCCCUUUCGGUGGGGAAGAAAAGUUGUGACCUAACACGUUGCGACCUUGACGUAACCCACUAAAGAAGCACCGGCUAACUCUGUGCCAGCAGCCGCGGUAAUACAGAGACUGCAAGCGUUAUUCGGAUUCACUGGGCGUAAAGGGUGCGCAGGCGGUUGGGCGUGUCAGAUGUGAAAUCCCGAGGCUUAACCUCGGAACUGCGUCUGAAACUACUCGACUAGAGUACUGGAGAGGGUAACGGAAUUCACGGUGUAGCAGUGAAAUGCGUAGAUAUCGUGAGGAACACCAGAGGCGAAGGCGGUUACCUGGACAGUUACUGACGCUCAGGCACGAAAGCAUGGGGAGCAAAAGGGAUUAGAUACCCCUGUAGUCCAUGCCCUAAACGGUGCACACUAGGUCUUGGCGGAUUCGAUCCCACCAGGGCCCAAGCUAACGCGUUAAGUGUGCCGCCUGAGGACUACGGUCGCAAGACUAAAACUCAAAGGAAUUGACGGGGGCCCGCACAAGCGGUGGAGCAUGUGGCUCAAUUCGAUGCGACGCGAAGAACCUUACCAGGCCUUGACAUGCACUAGACCGACUCUGAAAGGAGUCUUCCCUUCGGGGCUGGUGCAUAGGUGCUGCAUGGCUGUCGUCAGCUCGUGUCGUGAGAUGUUGCGUUAAGUCGCGCAACGAGCGCAACCCCUGUCCUUAGUUGCCAUCAGGUAAAGCUGGGCACUCUAGGGAGACAAACCCUCUCUGAGGGUGGGAAGGUGGGGAUGACGUCAAGUCAGGAUGGCCCUUACGGCCUGGGCUGCACACGUGCUACAACGCUCGGUACAGAGGGACGCAAUACCGCGA
rnacentral:rRNA from 1 species